rnacentral:rRNA from 1 species
UACGGGGGGGGCAAGCGUUGUUCGGAAUUACUGGGCGUAAAGAGCUCGUAGGCGGUUUGUCGCGUCUGCUGUGAAAUCCCAGGGCUUAACCCUGGGCCUGCAGUGGGUACGGGCAAACUAGAGUGCGGUAGGGGAGAUCGGAAUUCCUGGUGUAGCGGUGAAAUGCGCAGAUAUCAGGAGGAACACCGGUGGCGAAGGCGGAUCUCUGGGCCGUAACUGACGCUGAGGAGCGAAAGCAUGGGUAGCGAACAGG